GGCUUGGUGGUCUAGUGGUAUGAUUCUCGCUUAGGGCUCACCCUACAGCUGCAAACUGAAAGUUGCGAGAGGUCCCGGGUUCAAUCCCCGGCCAAGCCC